rnacentral:tRNA from 1 species
GGGGUUUAGAAAUUGUUGCUCCGGCCUGUCACGCCGGGGGUCGCGGGUUCGAGCCCCGUCAACCGCGCCA